AUUUAAAUAUUUUUAAAUUAAAAUUUUUAAAAUAUUUACAUUUUAAUUUCUAGCAUGGUAUACCAUCAAUAGACGAAAUCCACCUAACGGAGGCUCUUCUAGGGUCCCCAGUUUUUAAGAGUGUGAAGGGAUUUCAACAGCAGCAUGUUUGAGGACCACUGGCAUGGACUAUCUUUGGCUGGAUACAGGGACAAAUGGUGGUGUGGUUGCACCUAGGGAGGGGCCUGGGUCAUGCAGUAGUAGGAUAGACGGUGUCCUCACUUGUCAGUGUGUAUACUAUUAAAAAUAAAGUCAGUGCAGGAAAUUACUUAUGGAAAUUUGCUCAUCUAGGCAUUGGUUCUACUUCCUAAAAAUCUCAAGACAUUCUCACUUCUCUCUGCAGGCAGCCGACUUGGAUGGGGAAAUCGACUUGUCUACAUGUUACGAUGUCACAGAGUAUCCAGUUCAGAGAAACUAUGGCUUCCAGAUACAUACAAAGGAGGGCGAGUUUACCCUGUCGGCCAUGACGUCUGGGAUUCGGCGGAACUGGAUCCAGACCAUCAUGAAGCACGUGCACCCGACCACCGCCCCGGAUGUGACCAGCUCGUUGCCAGAGGAAAAAAACAAGAGCAGCUCCUCUUUUGAGACCUGCCCGAGGCCUACUGAGAAGCAAGAGGCAGAGCCCGGGGAGCCGGACCCUGAGCAGAAGAGGAGCCGCGCGCGGGAGCGGAGGCGAGAGGGCCGCUCCAAGACCUUUGACUGGGCUGAGUUCCGUCCCAUCCAGCAGGCCCUGGCUCAGGAGCGGGUGGGCGGUGCGGGGCCUGCUGACACCCAUGAGCCCCUGCGCCCUGAGGCGGAGCCUGGGGAGCUGGAGCGGGAGCGUGCAC
rnacentral:sRNA from 1 species